rnacentral:rRNA from 1 species
CGUGGAGGGCCCUCCCGUCAGCGAGUAAUGGCUAGCUUGGGGAGAGCAGGCUUAUAUGCCCGACGAGUCCAGAUCGACGGUGAGGUGUGGCACCGCGGGGUCGGCUCAUCACAUCCGGGGGGUGUAGUGGGUCGCAGGGGUUGGGCUGUUCGCCCAUUGAAGGGGGACGCGGGCUGGGUUCAGAACGUCGUGGGACAGUUCGGUCCCUUUCCGUCGCAGGCGUAGGAAAUUUGAGAAG